AUGUUUUGUUUGUUAAAAGUAAUAGGUUGCCAUUAUUCUUGCACGGAUAGUAUCAAUCAUUCAUCAGUUAUCGUGUCUCUUUCUUCUAGUAGACGAGCCAUUCGAGUGAUUGAUUUGUGCCAUUAUUCUUGUAUGGAUAAUAUCAUUCAUUCAUCAGUUAUUGAGUCCCUGUCUUUUAGUAGACUAACCCGAUCUUGUUUAGUGAGAGCUGAUUUCAUUUUGGUAAUAGAUGUGUAG